rnacentral:ncRNA from 1 species
CGCUGGGGGCGCCUUUAAGAGGCUGAGAUGCUCACCCUUUGAACCUGAUGUAGGUCAUCCUACCGUAGGGAAGCCG